rnacentral:rRNA from 1 species
AUGUGAUCGUCUCUCGCAUAUCAAUAAGCGGAGGAAAAGAAACUAACAAGGAUUCCCCUAGUAACGGCGAGUGAAGCGGGAAGAGCUCAAAUUUGAAAUCUUAAAGGGUUUCCCUUUACGAAUUGUAGUUUAAAGAAGUGUUUUCUGUUGAGGUUUUGGUAAAAGUUCUUUGGAAUAGGACAUCAUAGAGGGUGAGAAUCCCGUAUUUGACCUUUACUUUCAACUUUGUGAUACACUUUCAAAGAGUCGGAUUGUUUGGGAAUGCAGUCCAAAAUGGGUGGUAAAUUUCAUCUAAAGCUAAAUAUUGGCGAGAGACCGAUAGCGAACAAGUACCGUGAGGGAAAGAUGAAAAGAACUUUGAAAAGAGAGUUAAACAGUACGUGAAAUUGUCAAAAGGGAAGCGUUUGACACCAGUGUUGUUUUUCUGAAAAUCAAUUAAAGAACUGUUUAUGCUAAGUUGUUUAGACUUUAUCAGCUAAUCUGCUUAGUUUUGAGCUUUUCUUUAAUGCACUUUUCAGUUAACAAGUCAACAUCAAUUUCUUUUGCUGUAAAAAAGCUUGAGGAAGGUGGCUUGAGAUUCGUCUUAAGUGUUUAUAGCCUCUUGCCUAUGCAGUCGGAGAGAUUGAGGUCUGCAGCGUAGAUCCUUCGGGGCUAAAUGCAUUUGUGCUAAGUUAUAGCAUUUUAUAGACAACUUGUUGACUAUGAUUUGUCUUGUAGCUUACUCGCUUAUGUUAUUUUACCUACGCUUAGGAUGUUGAUCUACAGAGCGAGAGU